rnacentral:rRNA from 1 species
AGAGUUUGAUCCUGGCUCAGGAUGAACGUUGGCGGCGUGCCUAAUACAUGCAAGUCGAACGGAGAUUGUAGCAAUACGGUCUCAGUGGCGAACGGGUGAGUAACGCGUUGGUGACCUGCCCCGAAGUGUGGAAUAACAGAUCGAAAGAGCUGCUAAUACCGCAUAAUAUCCAGAGGACUAGAUGCCUUUGGAUUAAAGGAUUUAUUCGCUUCGGGAGGGGCCUGCGUCCCAUCAGCUAGUUGGUAAGGUAAAGGCUUACCAAGGCUAUGACGGGUAGGGGACCUGAGAGGGUGGCCCCCCACAAUGGAACUGAAACACGGUCCAUACACCUACGGGUGGCAGCGGUAGGGAAUAUUAGAAAUGGACGAACGUCUGAUCUAGCAACACCGCGUGUGCGAAGAAGGCCUUCGGGUUGUAAAGCACUUUUUGAGAGGAUGAGGAAGGACGGUACUCUCAGAAUAAGUCUCGGCUAACUACGUGCCAGCAGCCGCGGUAA